GACGAACGCUGGCGGCGUGCCUAAUACAUGCAAGUAGAACGCACAGUUUAUACCGUAGCUUGCUACACCAUAGACUGUGAGUUGCGAACGGGUGAGUAACGCGUAGGUAACCUGCCUGGUAGCGGGGGAUAACUAUUGGAAACGAUAGCUAAUACCGCAUAAUAUUGAUUAUUGCAUGAUAAUUGAUUUAAAGAUGCUAUUGCAUCACUACCAGAUGGACCUGCGUUGUAUUAGCUAGUAGGUGAGGUAACGGCUCACCUAGGCGACGAUACAUAGCCGACCUGAGAGGGUGAUCGGCCACACUGGGACUGAGACACGGCCCAGACUCCUACGGGAGGCAGCAGUAGGGAAUCUUCGGAAAUGGACGAAAGUCUGACCGAGCAACGCCGCGUGAGUGAAGAAGGUUUUCGGAUCGUAAAGCUCUGUUGUAAGAGAAGAACGGGUGUGAGAGUGGAAAGUUCACACUGUGACGGUAUCUUAACAGAAAGGGACGGCUAACUACGUG
rnacentral:rRNA from 1 species